rnacentral:rRNA from 1 species
UGGGGAAUAUUGGACAAUGGGCGCAAGCCUGAUCCAGCAAUGCCGCGUGGGUGAAGAAGGUCUUCGGAUUGUAAAGCCCUUUCGACGGGGACGAUGAUGACGGUACCCGUAGAAGAAGCCCCGGCUAACUUCGUGCCAGCAGCCGCGGUAAUACGAAGGGGGCUAGCGUUGCUCGGAAUGACUGGGCGUAAAGGGCGCGUAGGCGGAUUAUACAGUCAGAUGUGAAAUUCCUGGGCUCAACCUGGGGGCUGCAUUUGAUACGUGUGAUCUAGAGUCCGGAAGAGGGUGGUGGAAUUCCCAGUGUAGAGGUGAAAUUCGUAGAUAUUGGGAAGAACACCGGUGGCGAAGGCGGCCACCUGGUCCGGUACUGACGCUGAGGCGCGAAAGCGUGGGGAGCAAACAGGAUUAGAUACCCUGGUAGUCCACGCCGUAAACGAUGUGCGCUGGAUGUUGGGUGGCCUAGCCAUUCAGUGUCGUAGCUAACGCGAUAAGCGCACCGCCUGGGGAGUACGGCC